CAGCAGCCACGGUAAUACGUAGGUGGCAAGCGUUGUCCGGAAUUAUUGGGCGUAAAGGGCUCGCAGGCGGUUUCUUAAGUCUGAUGUGAAAGCCCCCGGCUCAACCGGGGAGGGUCAUUGGAAACUGGGAAACUUGAGUGCAGAAGAGGAGAGUGGAAUUCCACGUGUAGCGGUGAAGUGCGUAGAGAUGUGGAGGAACACCAGUGGCGAAGGCGACUCUCUGGUCUGUAACUGACGCUGAGGAGCGAAAGCGUGGGGAGCGAACAGGAUUAGAUACCCGUGUAGUCCCUGUCUCUUAUAA
rnacentral:rRNA from 1 species